rnacentral:rRNA from 1 species
UAGGACUCUCGGCAAUGGAUAUCUUGGCUCUUGCAUCGAUGAAGAGCGCAGCGAAAUGCGAUACGUGGUGUGAAUUGCAGAAUCCCGUGAACCAUCGAGUUUUUGAACGCAAGUUGCGCCCGAGGCCAAUUGGCUAAGGGCCCGUCCGCCUGGGCGUCAAGC